rnacentral:misc_RNA from 1 species
CGAAGCGUCUCCGCGAAGUCG